UCUGAUUUCCCUCUUCCUCUUCUCACAACCUACCAUCUGAACGCCGCCGCUACCCUUUCUCGAUUUCCCUCUUCCUCUUAUCGCAACCCACCAUGCAAAUGUCGCCGCUAUCCUCCCCAUUUCCCUCUUCCUCUUCUCGCAACCCACCAUUCGAACGUCGCUGCUACUUGCUACCAUCUGAAUGUCGCUGAACGCCACUGCUAUCUGCUAGCAUCUGAACGUCGUUGGAGGCCGCCACCCUUUUGCUCACCAAACUCGUCGUAAGUGCUCCAUUCGUUGCAGCUCACCCUAAGUUCACUCGUGAGGGAUUAAUAUCAAGCUAGUGGAUGAAUACUUAUUGGAUCUUGAAAGGAGAUUUAAAGGAAGAGAAGGCUAUUGACCAUGGAAUUCUUUCCUUGCUCCAACCUGCAACUUUGGUUCAAACUUUUGGACAAAGGAACCAUGUUUGCUUGAACGAGGGUCCAUCAUUGUUCCUCCAUACUGUCCUCCCUAGAAAAUGAAAACCCACCUAAUCCCCCUUGAAACUCCUUGCUCUAUCAUCGUCUAUUUUCGUGGAUUGUUUUAUGAUGUUAACAAUGACCCAGAAGGUGGUUAUUACAUAAGGUGCAUGUUGGUUAUGUCAUUAUUAGUUUUUUACAUUCCUAGAAUAGAACAGGGUUGAAUACAACACUAAUAGGGUAUAGAAGUUUGACUUUGUUGUGUUUUGACAA